rnacentral:rRNA from 1 species
GUCCUUUUGUUUAUUUAUUUAAGGUCUGACCUGCCCAAUGAGGAAUUCAAUGGCCGCAGUAUUUUAACUGUGCUAAGGUAGCAUAAUCAUUUGUCUUUUAAUUGAGGGCUGGAAUGAAAGGUUGGACGAGAUAUUAACUUUCUUUAGUUUAAUUUUAAGAAUUUAAUUUUUGAGUUAAAAAGCUUAAAUUUAUUUGUUGGACGAGAAGACCCUAUAGAUCUUUAUAAUUUUAUAUUUUGAUAAUUUGGUGAUUUUAUUUAUUGUAAGUAGAAGAAUUAUUUUGUUGGGGUGACUGUGGAAUUUUAUUAACUUCUAUUAUUUUUAUUUCAUUGAUUGAUGUUUUUUUGAUCCAUAUAUUUAUGAUUAAAAGAUUAAG